UUAGUGGCCCGAUGCCCUGCUACAGGUCUGACUCCCCGGCAGACCGGCACCCAGUCUCUGCGCUGUGCAUAGUGGAGAGCCGUUGUGCUCGUCCGUUUCUGUGAUGGGCCCGUUGAAUUUGGCAUGUAGCGUCGUGGCAGCUUCUUCCCGUGUCGAUCCAUCCCCCUCUACCUCCCUGCAUCGCGCGGAGUCCAGUGGCGGCCGUCCAUUUCAUUCGGCACCCACCUCCCCCGCCAUCCCCUCCCUCUCCGCCGCGCCUCCACCCUUCCAUCUGCCACCAAUCCCUGCCCAUCACGGUGGCCGGCAGCGCCCAGCGGUUCCCCUACAUCGCACGGAUUCUGGUGGCGGCCUGCCCCUUUCCUGCAUCUCGAGGAUCCGGUGACGCCCUCAAUCCAAGAUUCUGGAUUGGCGAGAGAGAAUUGGUCGCAGUAGCCUGGGUGGCGGCGGGCCGGAGCACGCAGGGUCGCGGCGUCGUGGCUGAUCUCCGUGAGGAGCACGGAUGCGGAGCUUGAGCUGGGAGCAUCGAUGGGGAUGAACGCCGGCGUGCCCCCUCCACCUCCCGCCGGCGCGGUCGCCUCCAUCUACUGCAGGCGCGCCGCCUCCAUCUCCCUCCGGCGCGGCCACGUACAACUCGUGCCACCGCGGUUGCUGAAGUCCAACGCCCUCUGAACUUCCACGCCAGCGACUGUCCUGUCGCCCAUCAGUCCACCACGCGCCCACGGUGGUAGUCCGAUGGUCCGCCCUGGAGCUGGAGGCCGUCCGGUGGUGUGUGCCCAACAGUUCACCUGCGCCUCCCGCCGCCGGAGUGAGGUGUCUAUGCCUUGCCCGAGUGCCCGACCAUCUUCCAUGUUCCCCUGUGGUCACCUCCCAUCUCGAUCAGAGGUACUGACGCAGUUCAGAGUGGUGUAAAGUCGACAGUUAACCAUGCUGCAGUUCAGUUUAUCAGGUGGUUGUGAUUUUUCGAUGUUCUUUUGGGCUACAUCAAUUCACCAUUUGCUGGAGGCUACAGUUGAUGCAUCACCUGGUGGUGUUGCAGUUCAGUUUGUCAGGUGAUUGUGAUUUGUGGAUGUUCUUUUGGGCUACAUCGAUUCACCAUUUGCUGGAGGCUACGGUUGAUGCAUCACCUGGCGGUUUUGAACUGGUGUUGUUUUGCUGGUUUUGCAUCUAGGGCUGCUAUACGUGUGCUUCCAAGAAGUUGAGAUACAGUUAGUUACCUGACGCUAAAUUAAUACAGUUAGCUCACUGCCAAUGCUGUGCUACUGAAGUAGUGGAUACAGUGAGUCUGAGAGUCACUGCUAACUUGUAAUGAUUUUUCUCUUAGACAUCUGAUUUCAUGUUUUUUUUUUGAAACGAAUCUGAUUUCAUGUUACUACUGCAUCUUUGGGCAUUGGUUUCUUGUUCUUCAGUCUACCUGAUCAUUGGAUUGGAGAUUUUGAUUAUUACAUUACAAUGUUCUAA